CAGGCAAUUUAAUUUUCAUUACAGAAAAACAAUGAAUAGGCAGGAACAAUGUAACGUGCUCAAGGAUAUCAAAAUAAAUAUUUGUCUGAAGCCACUUGGCAGCCUAUUCAAGUAUGUUUCAACCUGUCACACAAACAGACAGAAAGGGUAACAGUGAUAUGUUAUGUACUUUUCAUGUUUCUUGACUAAUGAAUGAGAAGCAAUCAUUCCAUCAACCCUGUACUAUGACAAGGCUUCUUAGUAGCUAUAAAUAGCAGCUCUAUAAUCACUUCUAAUUGCUACCUUUUCUUCCCUUUGGCACCCGAUGCCAUUAGGAACAGUCAGGUUGGGUUUUUUCAAAGAUUGCUUUCAAAAAACUGGGGGAAAAAUACAUAAGUCUUCUCUUUCACUUCCCCUUCUGUAUACAGUUCUUAACUUCACAGGAAGCUGUAGGCACAGCAAUCAGUAUCCAGAGAGACAUACUGAAAUCUAAUCAUGGCUUCAUAUCUUCCAGACGGUCCUGAAUGAUUCAUUGGCCAAGCAACACAUGGCACAGAUGGCUGCGAACAUAACACUGCACAAUGCCUCAAGAGUGUGGUGUAAUGGGCCAGGGACACAGUCUCACUAUUGUUUUCCAUGUAGAGGCUUCACGCCCAGCGCGGAACCCAACGUGGUGCUAGAACUCACGACCCUGAGAUCAAGACCUGAGUUGAGAUCACGAGUGGGACGCUUAUCCGACUGAGCCACCCAGACCCUGCAGGUGUUUGCCAAUGGUUGAACCCAACAGAGAACCAGAGGACGAGAAAGUCCACUGCUGCAGUCCAGACAAGUCAACCUCGAGGGACACAGAACAGGGUGCUUUGAGCAGGACAGAAAGUGGAUCUGAUCCUAAGCCCCACACCAGUGGAGAUCCUGCUGCUACAGGUAGA